UCGGCUUGGCAUUCUACCCAGCAUUUCGCAUCCCUGCAUGUAGAAUCAUAUUGCAUUGCAUCCUCCUAAAUCGCGUAGCAUUUCCAUUUUCAUGGAGCAUUACGCCAUUGAAAAAUUCAAACAUACGCAUGUAAGCAUAAAACAUUCUCGGUAUCCCAAGUGAUAAGCCAGAAGUUGUUUCCAGUACUCAGACUGAAGAUUGUUCAUG
rnacentral:lncRNA from 1 species